AGACUGCUUAGCAAUGCUGGAAUCUUGGAGACAUCAGCAUGCUUAUGUCACAAGCCACAUCUGUCACUGCAGGAUUUGUGUUUGUCCUCACGUUAAUAAUAACUGAUGGAGGCACCAAGUCGCCUUCCCUUAAAAGCAAGGAGUCUGAAUAUCAGUUUGGGAAGAGGUGCUUCAAAGAUCAAACCAGGCCCAUGACAGUGACAUGUACAGAGAGGAAGAAACCGGACAGCUGAGGAAGGCCUGAGAGGGGCUCAAGUUGCAGGAAUCAUAAGACCUUUGGCACCACUAAGUGAAACUUCACCAUGGAGAGGGAGUCAGUCUUCCCAUAGCCCAGAAGCCCCACCCAC
rnacentral:lncRNA from 1 species